rnacentral:rRNA from 1 species
GAUGAACGCUAGCGGGAGGCCUAACACAUGCAAGCCGAGCGGUAGAAUCUUUUCGGAGAUUUGAGAGCGGCGUACGGGUGAGGAACACGUGUGCAACCUGCCUUUAUCUGGGAGAUAGCCUUUCGAAAGGAAGAUUAAUAUCCCAUAAUAUAUUGAGUGGCAUCACUUAAUAUUGAAAGCUCCGGCGGAUAGAGAUGGGCACGCGCAAGAUUAGAUAGUUGGUGAGGUAACGGCUCACCAAGUCUACGAUCUUUAGGGGGCCUGAGAGGGUGAUCCCCCACACUGGUACUGAGACACGGACCAGACUCCUACGGGAGGCAGCAGUGAGGAAUAUUGGACAAUGGGUGCAAGCCUGAUCCAGCCAUCCCGCGUGAAGGAUUAAGGUCCUAUGGAUUGUAAACUUCUUUUAUACAGGGAUAAACCUCUCCUCGUGAGGAGAGCUGAAGGUACUGUAUGAAUAAGCACCGGCUAACUCCGUGCCAGCCGCCGCCGUAA